rnacentral:lncRNA from 1 species
ACUCGCAGGCUCCAGACGCCGCCAUUUCGCCAAGCCGAGGUCUCUUGGUUGCGGCACUGCUUCUGGCUCGGUGCCUGUAUUUUCUCGGUGCCUACAGCGCCCAGGUCGCCGAUCUGAGGGCUUCGGAGUACCGGCCGGGCGCGGUGGCUCACGCCUGUAAUCCCAGCACUUUGGGAGGCCGAGGCGGGCGGAUCAGGAGGUCAGGAGAUCGAGACCAUCCUGGCUAACACGGGCUUUGACUCCUGAGUCUAAAAAGGUCACUAACUCCCGCUAAAUUGAGAGCAAUUGAAGCCUCAUCUUCAGAUCUAGGAGAAGAUGAAAAUCAGAAUAAGCUGCAGUCAUGAGACAUGGCGCCAGAAAUUAAGACUAUUCAAACCCUCUAGUCCCAGGGACUAUUGAAGAAGAAGUGGAUAAGGUCUAGAUCUGUCACCCAGGCUGGAGUACAGUGGCAUAGUCCUAGCUCACUGCAACCUCCACCUCCCAGGCUCAAGUGAUCCUACCACCUCAGCCUCCUAAGAAGCUGGGACUAUAGAUGUGCACCAACACGCAUGGCUAAUUUUUGUAUUUUUUGUAGACACCGUGUUUCGCCAUGUUGCCCAGGCUGGUCUCAAACUCCUGAGCUCAAGCAGUCUGCCUGCCUAGACCGCCCAAAGUGCUGAGUUUACAGGUGCGAGCCACCACAGCCAGCCUAUAAAGUAAACGUGAAUAUCUAAGGAACACUGAUGCAAGACCAGCAUGUGGGACCCCAUGUAAGAUUAACAAUGUUUUCAUGGAUCAUUAACCCAUUCUUAUUAAAAAAAUUAUGAAAGAUUAUGAAAAGGUUUACAAAAGUUGUAUCUUAUGGUCAAGAUGAUUAAAAUUUAUUAGAUUUGUCUAUAAUAUCUGAGAAAGAUUUGAUUGGCUUCAUGCUGUCUUUAUUAGCUCUUAUUGUUUGGGAAAGCAAGUCUCAAAGAGUGAAAGGUUUUGGCUUUUAGUUUUUGAAAACUUUGAGUUACUGCUUAACUAAAUGAAUGACUUAUUUUUUACAAUGACCUGUUGUGGGAAGUCAGGGACCCCAAACGGAGGGACCGGCUGAAGCCAUGAAAGAAGAACGUGGAUUAUGAAGAUUUUAUGGACAUUUAUUAGCUCCCCAAAUUAAUACUUUUGUAAUUUCUUAUGCCUGUCUUUACUGCAAUCUCUAAACAUAAAUUGUAAAGAUUUCAUGGACACUUAUCACUUCCCCAAUCAAUACCCUUGUGAUUUCCUAUGCCUGUCUUUACUUUAAUCUCUUAAUCUUGUCAGUUGAGGAGGAUGUAUAUCAUCUCAGGACCCUGUAAUAAUUGCGUUAAGUACACAAAUUGUACAGCAUGUGUGUUUGAGCAAUAUGAAAUGUGGGCACCCUGAAAAAAGAACAGGGUAACAGCAAUUGUUCAGGGAAUAAGAGAGAUAACCUUAAACUCUGACCGCCGGUGAGCCGGGCAGAACAGAGCCAUAUUUCUCUUCUUUCAAAAGCAAAUGGGAGAAAUAUCGCUGAAUUCCGUCCCUGAGAAAGAGAAUGCGCACCUAGGGGUAGGUCUCUGAACUGGCCGCCCCGGGGCGUACCUGUCUCUUAUGGUCGAGAUUGCAGAGGUGAAAUAAACUCCAGUUUCCCAUAGCGCUCCCAGGCUUAUUAGGAAGAGGAAAUUCCCGCCUAAUAAACUUUGGUCAGACCAGUUGAUCUCAAAACCCUGUCUCCUGAUAAGAUAAUAUCAGUGACAAUGGUGCCAAAACUUCAUUAGCAAUUUUAAUUUCGUUUCGGUCCUGUGGUCCUGUGAUCUCGCCCUGCCUCCACUUGCCUUGUGAUAUUCUAUUACCCUGUUAAGUACUUGAUGUCUGUCACCCACACCUAUUCGCACACUCCCUCCCCUUUUGAAAAUCCCUAAAAAAACCUGCUGGUUUCGGUGGCUUGUGGGGCAUCACAGAUCCUACCAAUGUGUGAUGUCUCCCCCGGACGCCCAGCUUUAAAAUUUCUCUCUUUUGUACUCUGUUCUUUUAUUUCUCAAGCCAGUCGACGCUUAGGAAAAUAGAAAAGAACCUACGUGAUUAUCGGCGCAGGUCCCCCGAUAACCUGUGAUCCUGUUUUGUGAUAUCAAGUGUUUUAAGUCUUUGAUGUUUGACAAACUUUCCAAAAUCCAAUUCUAAAUUCAGUCAUUUUCAUCUCAUUAGUUUUUUUGACAUUGAGUCCCCUGAAAUCCAAAGAGACAUAUUUGGCUUAGUUGGUAUAAUCACACAAGAAGUAUUAUCAAAUAUAAAAUGAUAUGUAACCAUCUUUGCAUUGUAUUUAUGUAAAUGUGUUAUUAGUGUUUUAAAAUUGUAUGAGAUUCUUCUGAUUGUGAUAUGUCUUAGUAUAUGUUUUCAGAACUAAUUAUGAUUAUUAUAUUCAAAUGUUAUAUAUCAUAGAUAUAACCACAUUUCUUUGUCAGUUGUGUCUUAAACCAUGGCUAUUGUAAGACUUUUGUCAUCUACAAUUAUUGUUUUACUUAGAUCCUUUCGUAGAGUGGUUUAUAAUCAGUUAUAGAGCUCUGAGACUACCCUUUUUGUUGUUGUUGUUGUUGAUGUUUGCUUUUUGAGACAGGGUCUCAAUCUGUCACCUAUACUGCAGUGUGGUGGCAUAAUCACUGCUCACUUCAGCCUUAAUCUCCUAGACUCAAGCAAUCCUCCCACCUAAGCCUACCAAGUAGCUGAGGCUACAGGCACGCACCAUACACUCAGAGAAUUUUAAAAAUUUUGUAGAGAUAGAGUCUCCCUCUGCUGCCCAGGCUGAUCUCAAACUCUUGGGCUCAAGCAAUCCUCCCACCUCAGCCUCCCAAAGUGCUGGGAUUACAGGCAUAAGCCACCACACCCAAGAUUUUAAUACAUUUAUCAUGUCUUCAUUAACAAAUACCAAGUGUCUAUAUUGUACUACAUAGUGAACAAGGUCCCAGAGAUAAGUAAUCAACAAGCAGACAUGGACUUGGCCAUAAAGUGUUUGACACCUUCAUGGAUUGUAAAAAAAAAAAAAAAGCAUGACAACAAAUAAAUAAAUAAAACCGUGUUUAUAUGAUAAAUGUUAUCAAGAAACUUAACGCAACUUAGUUGAAAAGGUAACUAGGAGGAUAUUAUAUUAGCUACUAUAGUAAGGAUAGAAUUGUCACAGAUACUUCCACUUCGAUAUGAGUAAUGCAAUGAACAACACCAAAAAACAAACAAACCAACCUAGGCUGGGUGCAGUGGCUCGCACUUGUACUCCUAGCACUUUGGGAGGCCAAGGCAGGCGGAUCACUUGAGGCAAGGAGUUCAAGACCAUCCUGGCGAACAUGGUGAAAUGCCAUCUCUACUAAAAAUAUAAGAAAAUUUGCUGGGCGUGGUGGCCCACACCUGUAAUCUCAAGUUACUCAGUAGGCUGAGGCGAGAGAAUCAUUUGAACCCGGGAGGCAGAGCUUGCAGUGAGCUGAGAACACACCACUGUACUCCAGCCUGGGCAACAGAGCAAGACCCUGUCUCAAAAAAAAAAAAAAAAAGGUGGAGUUACCAUCAUGAGAGAAUAUAAAGUACAAAGAUUCUAAGACUAGAAAACUUUAUUAUGGGCCGGGCAUAGUGGCUCAUGCCUGUAAUCCCAGCACUAUGGGAGGCUGAGGCAGGAGGAUCACUUGAGGCCAAAAACUCAAAACUAGCCCAGGCAACAUAGUAAAAUACCAUCUCUAGUAAAAAAAAAAAAAAAAAAAAAAUUAGCUGGAUGUGUUGGUGUCUGCUUGUAGUCCCAGCCACACAGGAGGCUGAGGCAACAUAAUUGUUUGAGCCCAGGAGUUCAAGGCUGAAGUGAGCUGUGAUGAUACCACUGCAUUCUAGCCUGAGCUACAGAGUGAAACCUUGCCUCCAAAAUAAAAAUAAACGUUUGUUACAGCCAUGGACAAAGAGAAAGCAAUUAAUGGCUUUCAGUGAACUAAAUGGGAGGUAUCUAGACUAAAAAAAUCUUGUAGUCUUCUGCCCAAGAUGGCCUGCUGGCCUCUAGGCAAAAAUGAUACAUGAUUAGAUAAAGGUGGAAGUUUUGAUUUAGUUUUGAUUGAAUUGUUAAACUACUGAUGAUACAGUGCCCACGUAUAUGAUAUUGACUCCAUAAAUUAUCAGGUUGGCCAAAGAUGUAGCAAAGGCAUUUGUAAGAAAGCUGUAACUGAUAACGCUUGAUGGUAUAUUUCUACAUUUUCUUCCUAAGUUUAUCAGAUUAGUUGACCCCUAUAUCAGCUGAGUUCUUUAUUCUCUAAGUUAUGACACGCUAAUUCUUGGAGGAUGUAACAUAAUAUAAAUAACAUGUAAAAGCAAAAUACUAUACGCAGUCAUUUAACCCAUUUCCCAUUUGUCCUGAGAAUACUUGCAAGUGGGGCUUGCAGCUGCAGCAUUUACCCUCAGAUCACUUGCAGAUUUCUUUUUUUUCAGAUAAUAUUAUAAUUGCAGUAUGUGUAAAUCAACAUUCCCUGAGAAAGUAUCACCUGCCUUAACAGUUUUUGUCUGGGGAAGUUGAAAAGAAAUAGUACAUUCCUUUGCACAUGUUGGAGGGAGAAGUAUGUCUGCAUAAGAGUCUGGACAGCAGGUCUCUGCCUGUGUGACAUGGGUCUCCUUUGGGAAUGGUCACUACUCUGUGUGUUAUACCCAUGCAGAGCACUGCCAACUCUCUACAAUGCAAGGUUCCAUCCACUGUUCACAUCUGGAGAGACACAUCCAGGCUACAUACUCAAAGAAAUGCUAAAGAGCCACCGCGCCCAGCCGGCAGGGGAACCAUUUGAAUUCAGGAGGCAGAGAUUGCGGUGAGCCGAGAUCUUGCCAUUGCACUCCAGACUGGGCAGCAAGAGCAAAACUCCGUGUCAAAAGAAACAAACAAACAAACAAAACAAAACAAAACAAAACAGGUAUUUUUAUUUUAAAAAUGGGCGACUACCCUGGCCUGCUCCUCAGUAACAUUAUGACCCAUCAGGCAUCUGACAAGCAUUGCUCUGGGGUAGAAAAGGAUCCAAGUCUGCUCCAGUACUAGUAAUGCAUUUGGGGGCAAUAAUGAAUUUUCUAACCAGGGUCCCCCAAAACAGAUUUCCCUGCACCAGAUAGUAUUUUUUCUUUUCAAUCCCUAAAGCAAACUAUUUAACUAGAUAACUUCAUCUCAGAUGAUAGGACUUUAUGUAAAUCUCAUUAAUUCCAUCUCUUGAUGUAAUUUGCUCCUAAGAUUAAGGUUUCCACCCACCUCCCUGAAAUCUGAUUUGGACCCCCAGGAGGCCAGAAGAGUAUAAAAACGCAAAAGAUGUUGACUUCUGAGUCCCACAUACCCGGCGUCAGCUGGUGAAUGAAAGACACGAAGGAGCUGCUGUGGAGCUGCUGUCUCCCCUCGGAGUUUGGCAGGCCCGGGAUUCCGCAAAGGAGUUGGCGGGGCCAGAUGCCUCCAGCCCUGAGCUCAGUACAUUCGGUGUCCUGGAUGCUCCCUUCCUUUCCUUAUCACUGCGAGCUCUCCUGGGACGGCCUAGAUUUCCACUGGGACCUACUUUCGGCUCCCUGCGUGCUUCAUUGCUGAAACUGCCGGCGAAAAGAUCUCUUUCUCAAGCCUCAGAGCACCUUGAGGCGGGGCGCAGAGUCGCCCGCUCUGGAUCCCGCGCCAGAGACCCAGGAGGAUCCGCAGGAGCCCUCGGGAGAGCAGGAGGCUGCAUAGGGUCUCAACGUACUCCCGUCCCCGCAGCCUCCCUCGCAACUCGCCCCUCGCUCGGUAGGCAGACAACUCCAGCCGGACAGGUCCGUCCGAGGAGACCUUUCAGAGUGUCAGCCUACUGCUGACCUCGGAGCCACCAACCAAAGUUCCAAGACUGCUGGCUGCAGAUUGCAUGCUCUUGGGGCAGACGCCCUAAGAAUGUGUCCACCGAGUCCAAUGUGUCUUUGGAGUCCUGAGCCCUGAGAUUUCCGCUAAGACCUUCCAUUGGACGAUCUCUUGUAACAGAUGUUGUUACAGUAACACGUGAGUUCGCUCAAAUGCGAUGGAAGUUUUGCCUUUCGAUCAUUUUGUGCCUUUGUCUUUCCCCUUCUCAAUAAAAUCGUACACAAAUGUGAAAUUCUUGUUGCCUGUGUUCCUGUUGAUGUUGGGUAAGGAUGAGCCUCAGGGGCGGGGUGGCUGGUUGCUGGUGCCAGGACUAUCACGGGGACCCUGAAUCCCCUAGGUUUGCUGGUUGCAGGGCAAACAAAAAGUACAAGAAGUGUGUGUCUUAUGCAGAGAUUGGAGGGGAGAAUAGGCCAGGGGUCGUGCAUGGCUGGUGACUCACAGGCUGAGCCUACAGGAAAUCCGGUGAACAGGCAGCAGACCUGAGAACUUACUGCAGGAAAUUCUCCUGUUCUGAGGCCCUGGAACUUUUUCCCUCUGAAGGUUUGCACCUUUCUAUCUUGAGGCCUUGUUAAACUCAUAAUUUCUGGAAGUUUUCUUCUAGACUCUUUAAGAUUUUCUCCAUAGGCUCAUGUUCUGCAUGUAUGAAUAGUUUCAUUUUUUCACUUCCAAUGUAUAUGCUUUCUUACUCCUUUUCUCACCUUAUUGCACUGGCGAACAAUUCCAGUAC